rnacentral:rRNA from 1 species
AUACGGAGGAUCCGCGCGUUAUCCGGAUUUAUUGGGUUUAAAGGGCGCGUAGGUGGAUUGUUAAGUCAGUUGUGAAAGUUUGCGGCUCAACCGUAAAAUUGCAGUUGAAACUGGCAGUCUUGAGUACAGUAGAGGUGGGCGGAAUUCGUGGUGUAGCGGUGAAAUGCUUAGAUAUCACGAAGAACUCCGAUUGCGAAGGCAGCUCACUAGACUGUUACUGACACUGAUGCUCGAAAGUGUGGGUAUCAAACAGGAUUAGAUACCCUGGUAGUCCACACAGUAAACGAUGAAUACUCGCUGUUUGCGAUAUACAGUAAGCGGCCAAGCGAAAGCAUUAAGUAUUCCACCUGGGGAGUACGCCGGCAACGGUGAAACUCAAAUGAAUUGACGGGG